rnacentral:rRNA from 1 species
AACGAACGCUGGCGGCAUGCCUAACACAUGCAAGUCGAACGAGACCUUCGGGUCUAGUGGCGCACGGGUGCGUAACGCGUGGGAACCUGCCCUUAGGUUCGGAAUAACUCCCCGAAAGGGGUGCUAAUACCGGAUAAUGUCUUCGGACCAAAGAUUUAUCGCCUUUGAAUGGGCCAGCGUUGGAUUAGCUAGUUGGUAGGGUAAAAGCCUACCAAGGCGACGAUCCAUAGCUGGUCUGAGAGGAUGAUCAGCCACACUGGGACUGAGACCCGGCCCAGACGCCUACGGGAGGCAGCAGUGGGGAAUAUUGGACAAUGGGCGAAAGCCUGAUCCAGCCAUGCCGCGUGAGUGAUGAAGGCCUUAGGGUUGUAAAGCUCUUUUACCCGGGAUGAUAAUGACAGUACCGGGAGAAUAAGCGCCGGCUAACUCCGUG